AUGAAGGGGACAAUGCAAGGUGUGGAUUGCUUGCCACGUGUACCGCAUUCAUGGUCAAUGGUGGGAAAGCGUUUAACUGGGGACAAGGUAGCGGUCAGAACGGGGUUUGUCCCAGAGAGGAUAGGCGACCAAUCAGCGAGCAACACAGAAACCAUCCUGAUUUGGUUUAGACUCGUGACGACGAUGUUUAAAAUGCCCCCUGUGAGGUUGAAAGUUGAAACUCUGGUCUCUGCCUCUCUGGAGAAGAGACAACCAGCGCUCCUGCUCCCCACAUGGCCAUGGUGGUGGAUGAUGCUCCUUCAGCUCCAGCAACCACUACUCACCACCAGUGGCCUAGAUGCAGCUACAAACUGCGCCCGUGCUGUGCCAUCGUUUGACCGAGACCGACCAAAUUUUUUGUUAACUAGUAAAAAGCAUAACCACGAGCUCCAGUUAAUUAACUGGUCUACUCCUCCUGCACUUCCUACCGAUCGAGUAAUUGUCGAUUACUAGUGCUGUCAUC
rnacentral:lncRNA from 1 species